AAAUUAUACUAUACGGCAAAAAAUUGCCGUCAUUGCCGCAAUGAUCCACAGCAUUUUGUUCACCCUCUACAGCAAUUGAUUUUCGAGGGGGAGGGGUUGGAAGAUUUCGAAAAAAAAAUUCCUGCAAUCCAAGGAGAAAGAAAGAAAAAAAAAUCAUGCAGCAUACAAUCGAGGAAAAAAAUCAUGCAAAAGCGCUCAAAAAAAAAUUGCUACAUGUAAAUCUACUCACGUUCUUCACUUCAGUAUUGUGCCCACAGACUUCCAAGAUUUUGCGGCAUUUUUGAGCAGGCACAUUUGCUUAAAAGAACACUGGGUGAACAGUGGACAACAUCACAGGGAUUCUGGCGCCUUUGGAGUCUAUAACAUACCAGUGGCGUUCCCUGGCAAAAUUGUUGCCCCCCCCCCCGUGAGAAAAUCUGGGCUUAAGAUAUGUACAAGUUUAUAAGUUAUUUAUACAUAUCUAAUAUGCAUGGUAGAAAAAAUAUUUUUGGAUGGUUGAGUCUGUGUGCGUUUUUUGAUAACAUAGCUCCAAACUAUUAAGGCUUCAAAAGCCCAUCUACAGGAUGCAAGUUGAACG